UACGUAGGGACCGAGCGUUGUCCGGAAUCAUUGGGCGUAAAGAGCGUGUAGGCGGCUAUUUAAGUCCUGCGUGAAAUCCUGCGGCUCAACCGCAGACGGUCGUGGGAAACUGGAUGGCUAGAGUGCGGGAGAGGAGAGUGGAAUUCCCGGUGUAGCGGUGAAAUGCGCAGAUAUCGGGAAGAACACCCGUGGCGAAGGCGGCUCUCUGGAACGCAACUGACGCUGAGACGCGAAAGCGUGGGAGCAAACAGG
rnacentral:rRNA from 1 species